UACGGAGGGUGCAAGCGUUAUCCGGAUUCACUGGGUUUAAAGGGUGCGUAGGUGGGUUUGUAAGUCAGUGGUGAAAUCUCCAAGCUUAACUUGGAAACUGCCAUUGAUACUAUAGAUCUUGAAUUUUCCGGAGGUCAGCGGAAUAUGUCAUGUAGCGGUGAAAUGCUUAGAUAUGACAUAGAACACCGAUUGCGAAGGCAGCUGACUACAGGGAUAUUGACACUGAGGCACGAAAGCGUGGGGAUCAAACAGG
rnacentral:rRNA from 1 species